UACGUAGGGGGCAAGCGUUGUCCGGAUUUACUGGGCGUAAAGAGCGUGUAGGCGGCCAAACAGGUCCGUUGUGAAAACUGGAGGCUCAACCUCCAGACGUCGACGGAAACCGUAUGGCUAGAGUCCGGAAGAGGAGAGUGGAAUUCCUGGUGUAGCGGCGAAAUGCGCAGAUAUCAGGAAGAACACCAAUGGCGAAGGCAGCUCUCUGGGACGGUACUGACGCUGAGACGCGAAAGCGUGGGGAGCGAACAGG
rnacentral:rRNA from 1 species